rnacentral:rRNA from 1 species
UACAGAGGUCCCGAGCGUUGUCCGGAUUGACUGGGCGUAAAGCGCACGCAGGCGGUCUGGCGCGUGGGGUGUGAAAUCUCGCCGCUUAACGGCCAGGCGCCAUCCCAUACGGCCGGGCUGGAGCCGUGCAGAGGGCGGUGGAAUUGCCGGUGUAGUGGUGAAAUGCGUAGAGAUCGGCAGGAACACCCGGGGGGAAGCCAGCCGCCUGGGCAGGCGCUGACGCUGAGGUGCGAGAGCGUGGGGAGCGAACCGG